ensembl:snoRNA U3 Small nucleolar RNA U3
AAGACUAUACUUUCUGGGAUCGUUUCUUUAGUUUUUGACUUGAGAAAUGUGUUUUUAAAGAGUUUGGUCUCGCUGCCCACGAUGACGAGUUCAGAUGUUUCUUUCAGAGCAGGAAACUGGUGGGAAGACUUUGUUUCUUCUCCACUGUUGAAGACUGUUCAGAGUUUCUGAAGGAAGAAACAUGAUCUGAGUGGA